rnacentral:rRNA from 1 species
UACGAGGGGGGCGAGCGUUGUCCGGAUUUAUUGGGCGUAAAGAGCGUGUAGGCGGCUUUGCAGGUCCGCUGUGAAAACUCGAGGCUCAACCUCGAGCUGUCGGUGGAAACCGUAAAGCUAGAGUCCGGAAGAGGAGAGUGGAAUUCCCGGUGUAGCGGUGAAAUGCGCAGAUAUCAGGAGGAACACCAAUGGCGAAGGCAGCUCGCUGGGACGGUACUGACGCUGAGACGCGAAAGCGUGGGGAGCGAACAGG